rnacentral:rRNA from 1 species
UAUCCGGAUUUACUGGGUGUAAAGGGAGCGUAGACGGUAGACCAAGUCUGAAGUGAAAGCCCGGGGCUCAACCCCGGAACUGCUUUGGAAACUGGUAAACUAGAGUGCAGGAGAGGUAAGUGGAAUUCCUAGUGUAGCGGUGAAAUGCGUAGAUAUUAGGAGGAACACCAGUGGCGAAGGCGGCUUACUGGACUGUAACUGACGUUGAGGCUCGAAAGCGUGGGGAGCAAACAGGAUUAGAUACCCUGGUAGUCCACGCCGUAAACGAUGAUUACUAGGUUUCGGGGAGUUAAACUCUUCGGUGCCGCAGCAAACGCAAUAAGUAAUCCACCUGGGGAGUACGUUCGCAAAAUGAACUCAAGGAAUUGACGGGGACCCGCACAGCGUGGACUGUGGUU